GGUCGCGUAGCCCAACCUGGCAGAGGCACGGCGUCGAGAGCGCCGCGAGUGCUGGUUCGAAUCCAGCCGCGACUACUA
rnacentral:tRNA from 1 species